rnacentral:lncRNA from 1 species
AAGUCAGAAUAGUAAAGGAGAUAAAGAGAAAAGAGACGCUCACAUCAUAAUACCUCUCGUGGUAAUCUAGCAACGUAACAGCUUUUCGUCCUCGGGUUUGGUCCAAGCUGCACGGUUUGGUUGAGUUCCAAUGCCAGUUUAGGUAAAAAAUAUAGUCUAGGAGAGCUUCAGUAGUUAUCCGUGUCUAAACAUUUCUCAAGUGUUUGACUACUAGUACACUCUUGAAGAGCCUUGGCGUUAAGCUCUCUGCCAUAUCUCCAGACAUAGUUGAGCCCGACAAGAAGCUCCGUGAUGAUGGUUUCUGUUUUCUGCUGGUUCGCAAAGAAGAGAGUCUGCGCGAGAACUAUGUGCGUCCUCGAAACCAAGCUCUGGUUCUCGUAACUCCUCUCGGACUGCCAUUUUAUCAUGUUGUGAGCUAACGGACCCAACCAUUCCAAGAUACCCGCCAUUGCGUCUGUCCACUCCUUCGCUAGCCCCGGAUCAUAAACCGCGGAAGAGCUCAAGUUUUUCGAGUACGGCUUUAGCCUCUCUCUCAACGAUUUUCUCACGCUCGCUGGUAACAUGUUGUAAAGGUCGUCUCUCGCAUCGUCGCCUAUCAAGUGGGGAGAUGCAACGAAUCUCUCUAUCACGAUGAUGACAUUAGCGUAGUGUAACGCUAAGCAAGCGGCGCCGAGGGUGUUAGGAGCAGCAUCUGACAACUUGGGUCUUUCAACGUGGACAGUGUUGGAACUUCCUUCGAGAAUCUGAUGAUGCUCUGCGCUACUAUGCCUAGCUCCGUUCUGGGUCCUAGUGCUGAGAGGAGUGAUACCGUCUUGAGACACCAUGCAGCCUUUAAAGGGACCAACCUGUGUUAAACGGUUGGGUUUCGACUGCUUUUUCGCUGAGGAGACCGAAGGCCUUUCCGGUGUCUGCACCACCGUCUUCUUGUUGUGUUUGCCCAUUCCCAUAAGCGGUCCUGAUUUGGAGGUGAACUUCCCGAGAGGACCCGAGUAAAACUUGAAACGUUUGUUCUUUUCUGGGGCAAGAGGACCUGACUUAGGGGACUGGGUAGUGAGUGAGCCCGAGAGGAAAUCACCCAUCUUCGUGGACUUUGUAGCAGCUGAGCCUGACGCUGGACCUGUGAAUCUCCCAAGAGGACCAGAAGCAAAUCUAGGAGGACGGGUGGUCUCGGACUGAUGCGUCAAAACAGUGGAAACAGAGUGGCCGCGAGCGAUGAAAUCAGAAUCCGCAGAGCUAACAUCGCUAGCCUCUGCUCUGUAACUAAUGCCGAAAACAUGUUUAGUCCUAGUCAAGAUUGUGAAGAUCGAUCUCACCAAGAGAAGGACGGUGUAGUCAUAAGUACGGUUCCAAAGAGACACCUCCCUUAGAUUCUUCACUUCAUGUUUCUUCCACGUGACUUUUUUCUUGUACUCCACUAUAUUAUCGGUUGCAGAUUCAUUGCUCUGCCUUCUCUUGAGACUCUGCUCAAGCUCCGUCAGAAUCUCAGUCUCCUGGUAAAGACUAGCAUUAGACGAGAUAAAACGCUCCAUCCUCUUAACCUUUCUAUCCAUUUUCUUCCACCCAAACUGCCACCCAUAAGGAUCAGCUCCCGUCUUCAUCAUCUCACCGAAACAACUCUCGAAGCUCUUCAACUUGGGAUCGUUGCAUUUUACAGCGAGCCUAGCCACAGCUUUCGCUACGUUCUCAACGUUCUCCAUCAUCUCGUCGCGUAUCAGCCUCACGAUGAAGUCAUCGUCAUCUGAAACUAGCUUCUUUAUACCCGCGGAACGCGUGAUCUCUUCUCUGAGCCUCGUGACGUUCUUAUCGCUCAGGGAUUGCCAUAGAUGAACGAGUUUCGAGAGUAGACUAGCGACCUCGAAGGCUAACACUCCAAGCACAUCCUUCUCUUUAUGACCUUCGUUUUUCUUUGGGAAUUUCCAGAGGUUACGAAACCAAGUCUCUGAAACCAUCCUCUCUCUCUCUCAAGCUGAUGCGUGACAAUCAACAGUGUCUCUCCUACACAAUGAAUGAACAAUCUGUUAACCAAUACAAGUGAGGAAACGCAGAAUCAAUCAUUCACAUCAAAAGUGGAAUCAUCAAGAAAACAGCUCUUACGCACGUAAUAUGAAUCGAUUCUGCUGAAAGUGGGAGAAAUCUAGCUACAGAGCUAACGUUACGUAGAAUCGCCAAUCCUACCAACUCUCUCUCUCUCUCAAACUGCUGCGUUAUAAUCAACAGUGUCUCCUACACAAUGAAUGAACAAGAUCAGGAACAAUCUGUUAGCCAUUGAAACGCAUAAUCAAUCAUUCACACAAGUAAUUCACAUCAAAAACUCGAAAUCUCUAAGCUGAAAUCAUCAAGAAAACACCUCUUACGCAAGCAAUAGGAAUCGGAUUUGGCUGAAAUUGGAUUGAAAUCUAUGCUACAGAGCUCAAGUUACGCAGAAUCACCAAUCCUACCAUCCUCUCUCAAUACAAUCAACAGUGUCUCCUACACAACGAAUGAACAAUCUGUUAACCAAUGAAACGCAUAAUCAAUCAUUCACACAAGCGAUUCACAUCCAAAAACUGAAAUCUCGAGCUGAAAUCAGCUCUUACGCACGUAAAUAUGAAUCGAUUUAGCUGAAAUUAGGCGAAAACCUAAGCUACAGAGCUCGAGUUACGCAGAAUCGCCAAAUCAAAAUCACGAACAACCCGUUAACCAAUACGACUGAGGAAACGCAGAAUCAAUCAUUCACACAAACGAUUCACAUCAAAAAACUCGAAAUCUCGAGGUGGAAUCAUCAAGAAAACAGCUCUUACGCAAGCAAUAUGAAUCGAUUUAGCUGAGAUUGGAUGAAAUCAAGCUACUACGCAGAAUCGCCAAAUCCUACCAAAUCGAGUUUCUAAAUAAAUUCUCCAGCUGGAGUAUGUAAACACGGCCUCGCGAAAUCACUAUUCGAAUUGGAAUUGUCGGCGAAUCGAGAAACAGAUAUGGAAACAGAAGAGGCGUCUGCAAACGAGGAAGCGCGUAAGAGCGCGAGAGGAGAAGAAGAAAGCUUACCGAUUUUGGCACAUACGUAUAUGCAGCAGUAGUAUGUAUCAUCUCAACCACAAUAAAAUCUCGUAGAAACAAUAUACAAUGCAUCAUCACAUCCUACUACAAGUCAGAAUAGUAAAGGAGAUAAAGAGAAAAGAGACGCUCACAUCAUAAUACCUCUCGUGGUAAUCUAGCAACGUAACAGCUUUUCGUCCUCGGGUUUGGUCCAAGCUGCACGGUUUGGUUGAGUUCCAAUGCCAGUUUAGGUAAAAAAUAUAGUCUAGGAGAGCUUCAGUAGUUAUCCGUGUCUAAACAUUUCUCAAGUGUUUGACUACUAGUACACUCUUGAAGAGCCUUGGCGUUAAGCUCUCUGCCAUAUCUCCAGACAUAGUUGAGCCCGACAAGAAGCUCCGUGAUGAUGGUUU